GACGAACGCUGGCGGCGUGCUUAACACAUGCAAGUCGAGCGGGAAGGCUCCUUCGGGCAUACACGAGCGGCGACCGGGUGAGUAACACGUCAGCAACCAGCCCUUCUCAUCGGAACAACCAUUGGAAACGCUGGCCAAUGCCGACAACGGCUUCGUUUCGCACAUCAGGACGUGGAAUGCUUCGGCGAAGAGCGAUGAUCUAGAGGCCUAUCAGCUUGUUGGUGAGGUAAUGGCGCACCAAGGCGACGACGGGUAGCCGGCCUGUGAGGGUCACCGGCCACACUGGGACUGAGACACGGCCCAGACUCCUACGGAAGGCAGCAGUGUGGAAUAUUUGACAAUGGGCGAAAGCCUGAUCCAGCAACGCCGCGUGAGGGAUGACGGCCAUCGGGUUGUAAACCUCUUUCAGCAGGGACGAAGCGAAAUCGACGAUACCUGCAGAAGAAGGACCGGCCAACUACGUGCCAGCAGCCGCGGUAA
rnacentral:rRNA from 1 species